rnacentral:rRNA from 1 species
UACGUAGGCAGCGAGCGUUGUUCGGAGUUACUGGGCGUAAAGAGUGCGUAGGCGGUUUUCUAAGUUUGGUGUGAAAUCUCCCGGCUUAACUGGGAGGGUGCGCCGAAAACUGGAAGGCUUGAGUAUGGGAGAGGUAAGCGGAAUUCCUGGUGUAGCGGUGAAAUGCGUAGAUAUCUGGAGGAACACCGGUGGCGAAGGCGGCGUUCUGGACUGCAACUGACACUGAGGAACGAAAGCCAGGGGAGCAAACGGG